rnacentral:rRNA from 1 species
CGAGUGGCGGACGGGUGAGGAAUACAUCGGAAUCUACUUUUUCGUGGGGGAUAACGUAGGGAAACUUACGCUAAUACCGCAUACGAUUGAAUGAGCCGAUGUCGGAUUAGCUAGUUGGCGGGGUAAAGGCCCACCAAGGCGACGAUCCGUAGCUGGUCUGAGAGGAUGAUCAGCCACACUGGAACUGAGACACGGUCCAGACUCCUACGGGAGGCAGCAGUGGGGAAUAUUGGACAAUGGGCGCAAGCCUGAUCCAGCCAUACCGCGUGGGUGAAGAAGGCCUUCGGGUUGUAAAGCCCUUUUGUUGGGAAAGCGGUACCCAAAGAAUAAGCACCGGCUGACUUCGUGCCAGCAGCCGCGGUAAUACGAAGGGUGCAAGCGUUACUCGGAAUUACUGGGCGUAAAGCGUGCGUAGGUGGUCGUUUAAGUCCGUUGUGAAAGCCCUGGGCUCAACCUGGGGACUGCAGUGGAUACUGGGCGACUAGAUGUGGUAGAGGGUAGCGGAAUUCCUGGUGUAGCAGUGAAAUGCGUAGAGAUCACGAGGAACAUCCAUGGCGAAGGCAGCUACCUGGACCAACAUUGACACUGAGGCACGAAAGCGUGGGGAGCAAAC